CCUACGGGGGGCAGCAGUGGGGGAUAUUGCACAAUGGGGAAACCCGGAGGCAGCGACGACGCGUGGGCGAAGAAGUAUUUCGGUAUGUAAAGCCCUAAAAGCAGGGAAGAAGAAAUGACGGGACCGGAGGAAGAAGCACCGGCUAAAUACGUGCCAGCAGCCGCGGUAAUACGGAUGGUGCAAGCGUUAUCCGGAUUUACUGGGUGUAAAGGGAGCGCAGGCGGAACGGCAAGCCUGAUGUGAAAGCCCGCGGCCCACCCGCGGGACUGCAUUGGGAACUACCGGGCUGGAGUGCCGGAGCGGUAGGCGGAAUUCCUCGUGUAGCGGUUAACUGCGUAGAUAUUAGGCG
rnacentral:rRNA from 1 species